rnacentral:rRNA from 1 species
CACGUAGGGGGCAAGCGUUGUCCGGAUUUAUUGGGCGUAAAGAGCUCGUAGGCGGUUUGGCAAGUCGGGUGUGAAAACUCCGGGCUCAACUCGGAGACGCCACUCGAUACUGCCAUGACUCGAGUCCGGUAGGGGAGUGCGGAAUUCCUGGUGUAGCGGUGAAAUGCGCAGAUAUCAGGAGGAACACCGGUGGCGAAGGCGGCACUCUGGGCCGGUACUGACGCUGAGGAGCGAAAGCGUGGGGAGCGAACAGG